GGUGGGCUGCUGCUGGUGGACUGCUGCUGGACUGCCAAAAAUGGGCUGCUGUUUUUUUUAUUUUUUUAUUUCUUUUUCCUUUUCCUAUCUUUCUUUUCUUCUUUCUUUCUUCUUUACUGUUUGGGCUGCUGUUUUCUUUCUCGUUUUACUUGCUGUUUUUUUGUUUUCUUUUUUUGUUUGCUUGUGUAGGUGCGACGGGGGUGGGAAUGCAAGGGCGCGGCGGUGAGCACGGUGGUGGCGAAGGAGCGGCCGGAUUUUUGAAGUGGUGACGGUGACGGUGGUGGUGCGGCGGUGGUGAUGGCUUUUUACUUACUGCUGUUUUUAUUUUAUUUUUUUGAGUUUUCUCUGCUUCUUUUUUUUUUGGGGGGGGUUCCUAUCCGAAAAUCCCCCUCUUUCUCUCAUAUUCCUCUUUUUAAAUCCAUCAAUUUUUGUUUCUUUCUCUUUCUUUUCAGGUGGCAGAGGAGGAGGGAGGCCAUGCAUUGGGGUGGCAGGCGUGGCGAGCGGGUCACGCAAGAAUGCUGGUUGGGGGCAGUCUUGUCAUGCCCAGAAGGACUAAAUCGUAAUGGGUGCAAAAUUUCUGGGGCAAAAAUGCGAUUCUAGGAAAAUAUAAGGCAAAAAUGUAAUUUCUGGAAAGUUUAGGGGCCUGGCUGUAAUUUACGAAAUAUUAGGGGUCAAAGUGUAAUUUAAAGAAAAUUUUGGGGUCAAAAUGUAAAUUUUAAAAAGUAGAAGGGUCAAAAUGUAAUUUUUAUUUUUUGUAUUUUUUAUUUUUUCAAAAUUUUAUUAUGACUAUUUUAUUAA